GACGAAACACUGGAACUCUCCAGAAUAAAUUGGUACCUGGGUCUCUUCUGAAGUGAGCUGCUCUUAGGAGCUUCAAAUGAGGGUCUUUGAAGCCACAUGAAAAUUGAUGAGUGGUUGUAACAUCCAAGCUACCAAAUCAGACACACUUGUAAUUGUUCCCAAUAGUUUCUUAGCAGGCAUUUUGGAGGAAAAGAUUUGGAUCAGAAAUUCAGAAAUUACCUGGGCUCACAAAUAUAUGCCCCUCCAGCACCAUCCUGCAUUCUGCUUCCAAGAUACAUGAGCUUUCUGAAGAGCUGGUGAGAAUGCUGAAACUUCCUGGCCUUGGUUUCCCAUCUGGUAAAAUGAGGAAGACCAAAGCUUAACUCUCACAAGGAAUAUGCAGAUGAGGAAACCGAAGCUCUUGGGGUAACACGACUUGUGAAACUGCAUGCUACUCCUCAGUGGCAGGGUGGGGACUCUGGACAGAGGAACUGGCAAGGUCUUCUAGACCUUUGACGUGCAUAAACUGGCAGGUUUACAGAAUAACGAGGAAAACAAAGUGAAACAAAAGACUGUACCCGUGUGCUAAGAAUUUAUUACCCGCACAUCAAAAAACUUAUCCAUCACGAUCAAGCUGGCUUCAUCCCUGGGAUGCAAAGCUGGCUCAGCAUAUGCAAAUCAAUAAACAUAAUCCGUCACAUAAACAGAACCAAAGACAAAAACCACAUGGUUAUCUCAGUAGAUGCAGAAAAGGCCUUUGAUAAAAUUCAACAUCCCUUCAUGUUAAAAACUCAAUAAACUAGAUAUUGAUGGAACAUAUCUCAAAAUAAAAGAGCUGUUUAUGACAAACCCACAGCCAAUAUCAUAUUGAAUGGGCAAAAGCUGGAAGCAUUCCCUUUGAAUACUAGUACAAGGUAAGGAUGCCCUCUUCUCACCACUCUAUUCAACAUAGUAUUGAAGUUUUGGCCAGGGCAAUCGGGCAAGAGAAAGACAAAAAGCAUAUUCUAAUAGGAAGAGAGAGAGUCAAAUUGUCUCUAUUUGCAGACAACAUGAUUGUAUAUUUAGAAAACCCCAUCAUCUCACCCCAAAAACUCCUUAAGCUGGUGAGCAACUUCAGCAAAGUCUCAGGAUACAAAAUCAAUGUGCUAAAAUCACAAGCAUUCCUUUACACCAACAAUAGACAAGCAGGGAGCCAAAUCAUGAAUGAAGUCCCAUUCACAAUUGCUACAAAGAGAAUAAAAUACCUAGGAAUACAGCUAACAAGGGAUGUGAAGGACCUUUUCAAGGAGAACUACAAACUACUGCUCAAGGAAAUAAGAGAGGACACAAACAAAUGGAAAAACAUUCCAUCCUCAUGGAUAGGAAGAAUCAAUAUCAUGAAAAUGGCCAUACUGUCCAACGUAAUUUAUAGAUUCAAUGCUAUCCUCAUCAAGCUACCAUUGACGUUCUUCACAGAAUUAGAAAAAAAACUACUUUAAAUUUCAUAUGGAAUCAAAGAAGACCCUGUAUAGCUAAGACAAGCCUAAGCAAAAAGAACAAAGCUGGAGGCAUCAAGCUACCUGACUUCAAACUAUACUACAGGCUACAGUAACCAAAACAGCAUGGUACUGGUACCAAAACAAACAUAUAGACCAAUGGAACAGAACAGAGACCUCAGAAAUAACACCACACAUCUAAAACCAUCUGAUCUUUGACAAACCUGACAAAAACAAGCGAUCGGGAAAUGAUCUCCUAUUCAUUAAAUGUUUCUGGGAAAACUGUCUAGCCACGUGCAGAAAACUGAAACUGGAUCACCCUUCCUUAUACCUUAUACAAAAAUUAACUUAGGAUGGAUUAAAGACUUAAAUGUAAAGCCCCAAACCAUAAAAACCCUAGAAGAAAACCUAGGCAAUACCAUUCAGGACAUAGGCAUGGGCAAAGACUUCAUAAUGAAAACGCCAAAAGCAAUUGCAGCAAAAGCCAUAAUUGACAAAUGGGAUGUAAUUAAACUAAAGAGCUUCUGCACAGCAAAAGAAGCUAUCAUCAGAGUGAACAGGCAACCUACAGAAUGGGAGAAAAAUUUUGCGAUCUAUCCAUCCAACAAAGGUCUAAUAUCCAGCAUCUAUAAGGAACUUAAACAA
rnacentral:lncRNA from 1 species